rnacentral:tRNA from 1 species
GCGGGUGUGGCGGAAUUGGCAGACGCGCAGGACUUAGGAUCCUGUGGGUUACCGCCCGUGAGGGUUCAAAUCCCUCCGCCCGCACCA